GAAAGCCGUAUACUGGAAAACAGUCCGUACGGUUUGAGGUAGGGGACAGAGAUGAAAAUUUCUUCCUACUCUAU
rfam:Candidatus Omnitrophica bacterium CG1_02_40_15 cg1_0.2_scaffold_3290_c, whole genome shotgun sequence.